AUGGCAGAAGCUCUAGCACUCCGGUUUGGUUUAAAUCUAGCAACAUCGGUUGGCUGUUCAAAGGUGCUUGUUAACUCCGACAGUUUAGACAUAAUUUUGGCUAUGCAGGAUGGGGGGAAUACGUCAGGCUCCUCUGCUGCAAUUUUGGAUGAUUGUUUCCACAUGGCAAAGGAUUUCACAUGCGUGCGUUAUGAGCAUUGCCAUAGGGAAGCUAAUGCUGUGGCUGAUGAACUAGCUAGAAUCUGUAAAUUUUCUUCCCCUAAUUCCUGGUUUGAUGAGGCACCGGAUGCCAUCAUACCCUUACUUGUAAAAGACAAUGUUUUAAUUACUAGCUAA
rnacentral:rRNA from 1 species